rnacentral:rRNA from 1 species
AUCGGAACGUGUCCUGGAGUGGGGGAUCGCCCGGCGUAAAGCCGGAUUAAUACCGCAUCCGCUCUGUGGAGGAAAGCGGGGGAUCUUUCGGGACCUCGCGCUCAAGGGGCGGCCGAUGGCAGAUUAGGUAGUUGGUGGGGUAAAGGCCUACCAAGCCGACGAUCUGUAGCUGGUCUGAUAGGACGACCAGCCACACUGGGACUGAGACACGGCCCAGACUCCUACGGGAGGCAGCAGUGGGGAAUUUUGGACAAUGGGCGCAAGCCUGAUCCAGCAAUGCCGCGUGUGUGAAGAAGGCCUUCGGGUUGUAAAGCACUUUUGUCCGGAAAGAAAACCUCUGGGUUAAUACCCCGGGGGGAUGACGGUACCGGAAGAAUAAGCACCGGCUAACUACGUGCCAGCAGCCGCGGUAAUACGUAGGGUGCGAGCGUUAAUCGGAAUUACUGGGCGUAAAGCGUGCGCAGGCGGUGAUGUAAGACCGAUGUG